rnacentral:rRNA from 1 species
UAGAUACCCGUCUAUUCAUGACAUAAACAAAAGUCAAAUAUUACGAACAGAAGUUUAAAAUUCAAAGAUUUUGGCGGUGUCUUAUAAAACCAGGGGAACCUGUCUCAUAACUCGAUAAUCCCCGCACACCAAACCUUCUCUAGACAUCAGCCUGUAUACUGCCGUUGUAAGUAUACCUUUAAAAGAGCUAGUAUACCACUAUGCACCCAUAUACAUCAGGUCAAAGUGCAGCCGAUAAGAAGGUGAUGAUGGGUUACAACCCCAAAAUAGACUAUCAACUAAGAAAUAAAAAAUCUUAUGAAAGUGGACUUGGCCGUAAUUUAUAGACAAAAUAGAAAAAUGAAUAAACCUCUAAGACAUGCACACAUCGCCCGUCACUCUACCCUAAAGGCUAGAUAAGUCGU